GUUAGCGCCCUCCCUCGACCAUCAGCGCACCUGCAGUUACAUCGCCGGCCGCUGGGAGUUAUUCCCAGUGUCACCGGCGUGGGGGAGGUCAUGGUAGUGGAGGGACGAUUUCUUUUGAAGAGGCAUCUUGAAGGAUUUCAAAGUUUUUCUUAGAUCAUAGCUAUCGCAUGCAAAUGUUUUGAUAUUUUCUGUAUUUUUGUGUCUAACAGCACACCACCCUUCAUCAAUUGCAUAAUGUGAUAUGGAGUAUUGCGAAAUUAAAUUAAUUUCUUGGAAUUCCUGUAAAUUCUAAACAAGUCUUAGACUAAUCACGCAUGGUUCCAGGUAAAACAAAUACACAUUGAAUCCCGUGAUAUGGUACUAGUUUUUAAAGUGGAAACAUUACAUAUACAUUACAUUACAAGCAUUUGGUAGACGCUCUUAUCCAGAGCGACGUACAACAAAGUGUAUAACCAUAAUUAUUUGUUACUAAGAUUACUAAUGUAAGACACAAAUUAUUUGUUUUGUGGUCAGAAAUGAACGUUAUUAUAUUGGUGUGAGCUAUUUGUUUUUUUUUUUUCAAAUUGAGCUGUUUAAUGUGUUUCUGACGUUUUUCUCGUAAAGCGAGAGGAGCAGCCCUCAACUAAAUUAAAAUAGGAUCAAGUAUUUUCUUGCAGGGGGCGCUCGUGCUCAGUGAUUCCACGAUGACUCCUUUGUCAAGAUAUUAGAUCCCCAUGUUUGGGUGUGGAUAUUAGAUAAAUGUCUGGGGAGUACUACAUGAGUGGGUAGUCCCCGUAUUUCAUUUUAACUGUGAGAACUGAAUAUUUGACAAAGUUUGCCUGUUGUAUUUCUAUUUUAUUUAUAUAUAUAUUUUUUAAAUGAAGGUAAGGCAGAAGUGCCUUAUUAAUAAGCCAAGUCAGCCACACAGAAUAGUGAGUUCCCAGCAGAGGGUAGUACCCCCAAAACUUUUAAGGGGUCACAAACUCAAACAAAAUAUUCAUGGAUUAUGUCCACAAUACAAUUACAUUUUUCUUCAAUAAUUUGUUUCCCCUAUUUUACUGCUAAUUAUUGCUAUUUAUAGUGAUGGUAUUACACUUCCAACAGUAACACCACACCAUAAAACACAUAGAAUAUUUCAACAACAUAUUGUAUUAAAUGGUGCUGCUAUAAAUAUAUCAGGACAACAAUGAUAAUAUUUAGUUCACAUUUUGCAAUAAGUAGAGUACUGUACUCCAUAACUCAAUUCUAUACUUUCUUUCAAGCAAACAAAGAGCUGCAUGGGUCAGCACAGAAAUAUUAUGUCUUAAAUUUACACUGCAUGGCAAAAAGUAUGUGGACACCUGACAUCCAAUAUCUCAAAAAUUAUGAGCAUUCGUUUGGAGUUGGUACACCAUUUGCUGACGUAACACCCUCCACUCUUCUGGGAAGGCUUUAUACUAGAUGUUGGAGCAUUGCUUCAUGGAUUUGCUUCCAUUCAGCCAGAAGAGCAUCAGUGAGGUCAGGCACCGAUUGGGGGAUUAGGCUCACAGUUGGCUUUCCAAUUGAUCCCAAAGGUGUUGGUUGAUGUCAGGGCUCUGUGCAGGCCAGUCAAGUUCUUCCACACCGUUCUUGACAAACCAUUUCUAUAUGUACCUUGCUGUGUGUCCAGGGGUGUUGUUUUGCUGAAACAGGAAAGGGCCUUUCGCAAACUGUUGGGGAAGCGCAAAAUCAUCAUGCCUUCACUGGAAUUAAGGGGCCGAGCCCAAAUGAUGAAAAACAGCCCCAGACUAAGGGGUGUCCAGAUACUUUUGGUCAUAUAGUGUAUAGUAUGGUGUGUGUUAAAAAGAGAGAUAGAGAGCAACCAAAAGUGAUUCUUAGGUACCAACCUUAACGUCUGUCUGCAUGCCUCCAGAACGCAUCUGCCUGUCUCUCUUGGUUCACUGACUCGGUCCUCUUUGUCUGUGACCCCUCAGUUUGAAUGGGCACAGCGCCACUGGUUCCCAGUACCCCCUUAGAGACCCAACCUGGUUCGCUCAGUCUGGCUCCCAGAAAAUCACUCCUCCCCACCCAUGGGGAUGUAUGCAAAAUGGUGGCAGUAUGUCCUUCAGAUGAGGGCUACACAGGUGCACCGCCAGGCGACGAUUGAGGAUUCUGCCUGGCCAAGCAACUGAUCCACACAGGAUUCCCCAGCAGUCCACAAGCCUCCAGACUUCUGUGGCAAGUCAUUCAGCAUUGUGACUGGCAGACCUCAAACAGACAUAUUCUCCAGGAAACGACCCGUUUCUCAUGAGUCAGGGAAGAGCGGGAUGCAAGUCUUAUAGCAGAGAUCAAGCCCAAUGGAAACAACUUAAGGAGGUGUGCAACAGUAUAUUCCUUUUGAAUUCAUUUGAAUAAUUACUUCACAAGGAUGCUUUGCAUGUGGUUUGGCACAAAAUGUACAAUUGCUUACAUCCAUUGGCUAUGAUCUGUUGUAUUUUAUGUAUUCUAUUAAGAGGGGAGAGCAGGUAGUAUAUGGAAAGCCUGUUCUCAGUACAAAGAGCUUCUUUGGAGGAGGUGGUGUUAUUGGACGGCAGCUCUGUUGCCCCAAAUUCCAUCAUGUCAUGAGAUAAAAUCCUGUAAUGCCUGUAAGACGCAUGCAAUGGUCCUGUUUCGUGUCAUAUAUGUAAAGUGAAGAGCUGGGUAGUUUGCAUGUUAAACAUGUACUGUUCUUUGUCAAGAGGUUUCUUCGUUUUCUGUCCAAAUUGUGAACACUUUCUAGUCAUAUUCAUGCAGCAUUGAGUUUGGAUCUUUUCAGGGUUUCCCACAUGAAAGGCAGCUUGCUUUUCUUGGAUACUCCUGGAAUUGGUUCAAUUAAUCCAUUCUGUCACAGUUGUACUAGCAACAGACUGGGAUAGCCCCAAAUCCUCACAGUGAUACAGCUGCAUCUUGCCCAUUGGAAGUUUUAAUGACUUUAAUUUCUUGCAGUGGAAGCAAAAUUGAAAAUAUAAUAGAUGUAUUAACUCCACAUCAUACAAUAACAAAAUCAUAUCACUUUUCAUGUGUAUAUAGUAAAUUUAUGAUAACUUUCAAAGUUUUAGAAUAAAAUAAAUAUACCUAA